UACGUAGGGUGCGAGCGUUAAUCGGAAUUACUGGGCGUAAAGCGUGCGCAGGCGGUUGGCCGUGUCCUGUGUGAAAGCCCCGGGCUUAACCUGGGAAUGGCAUGGGAAACUGGUCGGCUGGAGUGUGGCAGAGGGGGGUGGAAUUCCGCGUGUAGCAGUGAAAUGCGUAGAGAUGCGGAGGAACACCGAUGGCGAAGGCAGCCCCCUGGGCUAACACUGACGCUCAGGCACGAAAGCGUGGGGAGCAAACAGG
rnacentral:rRNA from 1 species